GCAUUCCACACCCUUCUGGGGCCGCCCCUUCCUUUUUGCCAAUCCAGCCGAACACUGACAGCACAGCCCUGCUUGCCACACGCUCACUCCCUCCCCUGCUUGAGACCUGUGGGGCUUGACAUCUGGGAGCACUCUGAUGAAGAAAUGGAGCUUUUUGAGAGACUGAGUAAUUUGCCUAAAGUCAUAUAACGUGAAAAAACAGGAUUCAGACUAAAGUGUGGUGCAGCUCGAAGGAGCCCUGCGGGAUGGAUGGAGGACACUAGUGCUCAAGAAGCCAGGAGGCCAGCUGCCUGCAUCCUGCCAGCUGACGUUCAGCCCGAGACCCUGUGAGUUUUCUGGAAUCCUGACUCCUCCACCGAGAACCUCUCCGGAGCAGCGCUUCCCGAAGUAUAAUCUGCAGCGUGGCAAAAGCUGCUCUUGUUGUUUCACAGCUUUGGUUUUCUCACCCAUGAAACAUGGACAAUGGGAACUAAUACAGUGAUUUGAGGAUUAAAUGAGAUAAUACUUGGGCUGAGCUGCCAGAACUAUUGGCUCCCGUUGCUAGCCCCUCUUUAAUGGUCGGAAGAUACA